GCCUGGGUGGCUCAGUGGGUUAAGCGUCCAACUCCUGAUUUUGGCUCAGGUCAUGAUCUCGUGAUUUGUGAGUUCAAGCCCCACCUCGGGCU
rnacentral:tRNA from 1 species